UACGGGGGGGCAAGCGUUGUUCGGAAUUACUGGGCGUAAAGGGCUCGUAGGUGGCCAACUAAGUCAGACGUGAAAUCCCUCGGCUUAACCGGGGAACUGCGUCUGAUACUGGUUGGCUUGAAUCCGGGAGAGGGAUGUGGAAUUCCAGGUGUAGCGGUGAAAUGCGUAGAUAUCUGGAGGAACACCGGUGGCGAAGGCGACAUCCUGGACCGGUAGUUGACGCUGAGGCGCGAAAGCCAGGGGAGCCAAAGCGGG
rnacentral:rRNA from 1 species